AGUGAACGCUGGCGGUAGGCCUAACACAUGCAAGUCGAACGGCAGCACAGUAAGAGCUUGCUCUUACGGGUGGCGAGUGGCGGACGGGUGAGGAAUACAUCGGAAUCUACUUUUUCGUGGGGGAUAACGUAGGGAAACUUACGCUAAUACCGCAUACGACCUACGGGUGAAAGCAGGGGAUCUUCGGACCUUGCGCGAUUGAAUGAGCCGAUGUCGGAUUAGCUAGUUGGCGGGGUAAAGGCCCACCAAGGCGACGAUCCGUAGCUGGUCUGAGAGGAUGAUCAGCCACACUGGAACUGAGACACGGUCCAGACUCCUACGGGAGGCAGCAGUGGGGAAUAUUGGACAAUGGGCGCAAGCCUGAUCCAGCCAUACCGCGUGAGUGAAGAAGGCCUUCGGGUUGUAAAGCCCUUUUGUUGGGAAAGAAAAGCAGCAGGUUAAUACCCCGCUGUUCUGACGGUACCCAAAGAAUAAGCACCGGCUAACCUCGUG
rnacentral:rRNA from 1 species